rnacentral:rRNA from 1 species
CCUACGGGAGGCAGCAGUGGGGAAUUUUGGACAAUGGGCGCAAGCCUGAUCCAGCAAUGCCGCGUGAGUGAAGAAGGCCUUCGGGUUGUAAAGCUCUUUUGUCAGGGAAGAAACGGUGGGGGCUAAUAUCUCCUACUAAUGACGGUACCUGAAGAAUAAGCACCGGCUAACUACGUGCCAGCAGCCGCGGUAAUACGUAGGGUGCAAGCGUUAAUCGGAAUUACUGGGCGUAAAGCGUGCGCAGGCGGUUUUGUAAGUCUGUCGUGAAAGCCCCGGGCUCAACCUGGGAAUUGCGAUGGAGACUGCAAGGCUUGAAUCUGGCAGAGGGGGGUAGAAUUCCACGUGUAGCAGUGAAAUGCGUAGAGAUGUGGAGGAACACCGAUGGCGAAGGCAGCCCCCUGGGUCAAGAUUGACGCUCAUGCACGAAAGCGUGGGGAGCAAACAGGAUUAGAUACCCUGGUAGUCCACGCCCUAAACGAUGUCUACUAGUUGUCGGUUUUAAUUACUUGGUAACGCAGCUACGCGUGAAGUAGACCGCCGUGGGGAGUACGGUCGCAAGAUUAAAACGUCAAAGGAAUUGACGGCUGAGACGUGCCGACGGACGACGACGAGGGAGGAGG